GCUCGGAUGGUGGAAUGGUAGACACGCCAGUUUCAGGUACUGGUGGCUUAUGCCGUGUGGGUUCAAAUCCCAUUCCGAGCACCA
rnacentral:tRNA from 2 species